rnacentral:rRNA from 1 species
AGAGUUUGAUCAUGGCUCAGGAUAGAACGCUAGCUACAGGCUUAACACAUGCAAGUCGAAGGGGAAACGACAUCGAAAGCUUGCUUUUGAUGGGCGUCGACCGGCGCACGGGUGAGUAACGCGUAUCCAACCUGCCCACCACUUGGGGAUAACCUUGCGAAAGUAAGACUAAUACCCAAUGAUAUCUCUAGAAGACAUCUGAAAGAGAUUAAAGAUUUAUCGGUGAUGGAUGGGGAUGCGUCUGAUUAGCUUGUUGGCGGGGUAACGGCCCACCAAGGCAACGAUCAGUAGAGGUUCUGAGAGGAAGGUCCCCCACAUUGGAACUGAGACACGGUCCAAACUCCUACGGGAGGCAGCA